UACGGAGGGCGCAAGCGUUGCUCGGAAUUACUGGGCGUAAAGCGCGUGUAGGUGGCCUGAAAAGUCGGGUGUGAAAUCCCGGAGCUCAACUCCGGAACUGCAUCCGAUACUGCCAGGCUCGAGUCUCGGAGAGGAUGGCGGAAUUUCCGGUGUAGAGGUGAAAUUCGUAGAUAUCGGAAGGAACACCAGUGGCGAAGGCGGCCGUCUGGACGAUGACUGACACUGAGACGCGAAAGCGUGGGGAGCAAACAGG
rnacentral:rRNA from 1 species